GGGGGAGAAUCCAAGGGUGACGCUGCCCUCCUUGCAGACUCGCUCCUCGGAGCACGUUGCAGCCAGCCAGCACGUUGCUGCCUCUUUAAUCUCUGCUGCUGACAUCUCUUGUGCUUCUUCAGAAGGCCUCAUAGCUACUGCAUUAAGUCAGUGUAAGAUCCGAUUUUUCAAGAGCUGUGUUUGGCCACGAGGAAUCGUAUUACUGAGAUCCAAGAUAGACACCAAAUAUUCAUCUCUACCAAUUAAUCCCUGGCCCACGGUGCAGAUCCAGGGAAGAGCGUCACUGUGAGCCAGCACAUGAGAGACAUUUUCCAGAGGAUGUGGCUAGAGGAGAAAUUCAGAGCUGUGGAGCAGAAGCGCAGCUGCGUGUUGCUGCAGAGGCUGCAGCKUUUUGCAAUAGGAUGUGAAUGAUUUUCUCCCCCUUGUACCGUUUCACCCCAGCUUUGCUCUGCCCUAUCGCGYAUUUGUGCUUUGGGCACGAGGAAUCAUGAAUUUCCAGCAAAAACUCUGCUGGCAAAACCACCUUGGAAACAUUAUUGGAUAAUUCUCUCGCCAGCUCUUCAUGAUGUGCUCCAGCUUUAUAAAUCACACAGGGCCUGUUGGAAAUGGGCUCUGGAGCAACUCCAGAAUUUCUGGGACCUUCUGAUGAACACAGUGAGGCCAAUCUAAGAAGAGUUUGUAAAGACAUCCUUGUAGGCUGUGGUCAAGUCCUAUUCGUUCCUCCUCUUGGACAGACAGACUGCUCAGCUUCAUGUUCUCCCUGAAGUGUAUUUGGAGAUUGCAGGUGACUUCUGUGGCUCUUUCAAGCAUUCAGCAUUCUGGAAUACGCUUGCACCAGAAUAGAAGGAGCCAGAUUUAGUUUGCCCGGGUCUCCGCUUCCUAUCCCUCAGCUCUGUAGAGCAAACAYCUGCUUCAAACAAGGGACAUCUCUGCAGGAGUGCACAGACUGUUCACAGCCUGUCCUCAGACUAUCAGUCACCCAAGUGUCCUUGAUGGUUUCUAAUCACCUCYG